rnacentral:rRNA from 1 species
GAUGAGCGCUGGCGGCGUGCCUAAUACAUGCAAGUCGAGCGAACAGACGAGGAGCUUGCUCCUCUGACGUUAGCGGCGGACGGGUGAGUAACACGUGGAUAACCUACCUAUAAGACUGGGAUAACUUCGGGAAACCGGAGCUAAUACCGGAUAAUAUCUUGAACCGCAUGGUUCAAUAGUGAAAGACGGUUUUGCUGUCACUUAUAGAUGGAUCCGCGCCGCAUUAGCUAGUUGGUAAGGUAACGGCUUACCAAGGCAACGAUGCGUAGCCGACCUGAGAGGGUGAUCGGCCACACUGGAACUGAGACACGGUCCAGACUCCUACGGGAGGCAGCAGUAGGGAAUCUUCCGCAAUGGGCGAAAGCUUGACGGAGCAACGCCGCGUGAGUGAUGAAGGUCUUCGGAUCGUAAAACUCUGUUAUUAGGGAAGAACAAAUGUGUAAGUAACUAUGCACGUCUUGACGGUACCUAAUCAGAAAGCCACGGCUAACUACGUG